AUUAUCCGGAAUUAUUGGGCGUAAUGAGCUCGCAGUGCGAUUCGUCGUCUCGCCCAUGAAAGUGGGGGGCCCCCAAUACCUUUUCUGGGGUGUGUACGCGCAGCCGCGAUUCACGGGGGGGAGACUAUACUGCGUGGUGUAGGGGAGAAACACACAGAUAUCUGUACCACCCUCGGUGCCGAAGGUGUGUGUGCGAUCAUUAACCGAUGUAGAGGAGCGAAAGCGCGCCGAGCGAUCAGUCUUAUAUGCCAUAGUAGUCCCCGCGACAAACGUUCGCCACUAGGUGUGGGCGACAUAUAUGGUCUCUUGUCCCGUACACACCGCAUUACGCGCUCCCCCUGAGGACUACGGCCUCAACGCUAACACUCAAAGAAUUCGAGGGGGGCCCGCACAAGCGGCGGCGCACGCGGAUUAAUGCGAUGCAGCGCGAACAGCCUUACCAAGGCGGGACAUGCACGGGACACACCUGGAAACAGGUGCCCCGCUCGCGGUGGGUUCACAGGUGGUGCAUGGUUGUCCUCACCUUGUGUCGUGAGAUGUUGGGAAAAGUCCCGAAACGAGCGCAACCCUCGUUCUAUGUGGCCAGCGCGUGAUGGGGGGGAUUCAUAGGAGACCACCGGGGUCAACUGGGAGGAAGGGGGGGAGGACGUCAAAUCUUCAUGCCCCUUAUGUCUUGGGCUCCACCCAUGCUCCAAUGGCCGGUACAAAGGGUUGGGAUCCUGUGAGGUGGAGCUAAUCCCAAAAAGCCGGUCCCAGUUAGGAUCGGGGUCUGCAACUCGACCCCACGAAGUCGGAGUCGCUAGUAAUCGCAGAUCAGCAACGCAUGCGGUGAAUACGUUCCCGGGCCUAGUACACACCGCCCGUCAAGUCACGAAAGUUGGUAACACCCGAAGCCGGUGGCCUAACCCCUUGUGGGAGGGAGCGUCGAAAGGGGACCGGCGAGUUUUCC
rnacentral:rRNA from 2 species